rnacentral:rRNA from 1 species
CCUACGGGUGGCUGCAGUGAGGAAUAUUGGUCAAUGGACGAAAGUCUGAACCAGCCAUGCCGCGUGCAGGAAGACGGCCCUAUGAUUGUUAAACUGCUUUUUUACAGGGGUAAACUCAGAUACGCGAAUCUUCCUGAAAGUAUCGUACGAAUAAGGACCGCCUAACUCCGUUCCAGCCGCGGCGGUACUACGGAGGAUGCAAGCGUUAUCCGGAUUUAUUGGGUUUAAAGGGUGCGUAGGCGGUCGGAUAAGUUAGAGGUGAAAUCCCGAGGCUCAACUUGGGAAUUGCCUCUGAUACUGUUAGGCUAGAGAGUAGAUGCGGUAGGCGGAAUGUAUGGUGUAGCGGUGAAAUGCUUAGAGAUCAUACAGAACACCGAUUGCGAAGGCAGCUUACCAGGCUAUAUCUGACGUUGAGGCACGAAAGCGUGGGGAGCAAACAGGAUUAGAUACCCCAGUAGUC